rnacentral:miRNA from 1 species
GGGUAGAAAUGAUCAAAGGAUAGA